UUCACUUGUUUCUGUUUGUAUUCAAUUUUAAGGUCCCCUGAUUGUUAUUUUAAGCCACUAUGGCUUAUCAUGCGACAAUGGAUAACCCUGACACCAUUGCAUCACAUCAGGAGGCAUACGAUGUCAGUUAUUAGUGAUGGAAGUUGGAUCAUACAGAUAAGCUCUUAUCUAGCCAGACCUCUCCAUUAUAAUUUAUAAGUAAUCUGUGGGGUGCCUUACUCUAUUUUUAAAGUAAUUCUUACUAUAUGAACUUAAAACCACCAUAACUACCACGAUUCAGGGACCCUAAGUCAGAUUUACAUUUUUCUUUAUGGAAAUGCCUGCCUCGAUGCCAUAGGAAUACAGACAGAAGGAAGAGCAUCUACUGAUGGAUUACCCAGUGGGUGGGGGCCACAGCUGGCAAGAAGGUGGAUAUCCAGCUGUGAUGAAAACAUUGGAUUCUACUUGUAGUUCAACAGCACUUAAAACAGAAUGCUACACACUGUGUGUAGGUUUGCCAAGUUGUGAUUUGGAUCCCAAGUCAUGAGUUAGGUAGGAAGGAAUGAAGGAAGGAAGGGAGAA
rnacentral:lncRNA from 1 species